GUUCGAUCGUGUCGUUGUCACUUUUCAGCGACCAUUUGAAGCCGUACUCCGCGGGAUUGCCGUCGGCGCUGCAGACGACGUAAUCCUUCCCGUCCAUUACCUCCUUAUCAACUUGGCACUCGGGCUUGUCUGCGCGGGAAUACGUAUAUAGACACGUAGAGAUGUUGGCGCUGCCGAUCUUGUUGUUCGCCUGGCAGACGUAGGUGCCGCGGCUGGCGCGGGGAAAAGGCGUUUUGAAGUGCAAGACCGGCCCCUCGGAUAUUAUCUCGCUUUUUCCCUCGCGAUACCAGCGGUACUGGGGAUCCGGCCGAGCUGUCGCGUUGCACACUAUCGGCGCCGGUAUGUUGUCCACCACCACGUUCACCACCUUCGGCGAGAUGGUCAGGCUUUCCGGCGGAACUGCGAAUCAAAAGAUUUUUCGAUGCUGGGUAAGAGCUGAGGGAUUCGACGAGAUAGACCGACAUACAGAAUGUUUUUUAAAAAAAGCCUCGAGCUGCAGAAUAGACGUCACAUUCAAGAACAUCUCACAGCCGAGUAAACGUUUAUACUUUAAUAUGUUUUCAAAAAAAAACAUCUGACAAGACCAAGAA